UACGAGGGGGGCGAGCGUUGUUCGGAAUUAUUGGGCGUAAAGGGUGCGUAGGCGGUUUGGUAAGUCUUGUGUGAAAUCUCCGGGCUCAACUCGGAGCCUGCACGAGAAACUGCCGGGCUUGAGUGUGGGAGAGGUGAGUGGAAUUCCUGGUGUAGCGGUGGAAUGCGUAGAUAUCAGGAGGAACACCUGUGGCGAAAGCGGCUCACUGGACCAUAACUGACGCUGAUGCACGAAAGCUAGGGGAGCAAACAGG
rnacentral:rRNA from 1 species